rnacentral:rRNA from 1 species
AUUAAUUCGAUGACAACGCGAAAACCUUACCUACCCUUGACAUGUCCGGAAUCCUGAAGAGAGUUUUGGGAGUGCUACGAAAGAGAACCGGAACACAGGUGCUGCAUGGCUGUCGUCAGCUCGUGUCGUGAGAUGUUGGGUUAAGUCCCGCAACGAGCGCAACCCUUAUCAUUAGUUGCCAUCAUUUAGUUGGGCACUCUAAUGAGACUGCCGGUGACAAACCGGAGGAAGGUGGGGAUGACGUCAAGUCCUCAUGGCCCUUAUGGGUAGGGCUUCACACGUCAUACAAUGGUCGGUACAGAGGGUUGCCAACCCGCGAGGGGGAGCUAAUCUCACAAAGCCGAUCGUAGUCCGGAUCGCAGUCUGCAACUCGACUGCGUGAAGUCGGAAUCGCUAGUAAUCGUGGAUCAGCAUGUCACGGUGAAUACGUUCCCGGGUCUU